CACGUAGGGGGCAAGCGUUGUCCGGAUUUAUUGGGCGUAAAGAGCUCGUAGGCGGCUCGGUAAGUCGGGUGUGAAAACUCGGGGCUCAACCCCGAGACGCCACUCGAUACUGCCAUGGCUUGAGUCCGGGAGGGGAGUGUGGAAUUCCUGGUGUAGCGGUGAAAUGCGCAGAUAUCAGGAGGAACACCGAUGGCGAAGGCAGGACUCUGGGCAGGUACUGACACUGAGGAGCGAAAGCGUGGGGAGCAAACAGG
rnacentral:rRNA from 1 species